GCAGCGGGUGAAGGGCUGGCCCCUUCCGAGCGUCCUCCGGCUGCCUGCGAGCGGCGGCGCGGCCCGGCUGGCGGCAGGAGCAGGGCGGGGAGGCUCCUCACCGCUUCUCUUGGGAGCUGGCCCGGGUUGAGAUAUCACCCUGUAUCUGUAAUCUUAUGCAGGAGAAAAAGGACCAAUUAUUGUCAUCGAAGAAGGUUAAAACUAAGAAAGGGGAAAAGAAACGCAUCCAGAGCAAGGAGGGGGUUCCUGGAGAGAUAGCUGCUCUGGGGCAGUUGUGGUGUGACUGCAAAGCUGAACAGAGCAUUACAGCUCCAGGAGAGGCUGGUUGUUUUAAACAUUCUAAAAGUUCCAAGAAUUUAUGAAGCAUCGCUAUAACCAAAUUCAGUGGAGGGUUACAAUGAAGCAGGAGUUUGGGAUUCCCCAGUUACCAGCAGAAAUCCACUGGUCAUAAAACCUAGAAAUCUAUGUCCACCAAAAAUAUUCAUGACUUAAGAUAUACAGGACUGUGGGAGAAGAUGCAAUUUCCAGAGAUGAAAAGCAAGAGAUGUAUUGCUAUCAAUCUCCUAGUACUCAGCUAUAUUAAGUUCUAAUCAGGACUGAAAAGCAAAUAGGUAAGAGAUGACUGAAAACAUGGUAAUAGUAACCCAGUGUGAAAAUCCAUUUUAUGGCGCCAACACAACUCACUCAUGCCAUGCACCUCAUCCUUGCAGUUUUUUGUAUCAAGAAUGGUGUUUUACUUGGUAACUGCCAAAAGUGUGUAAGGCAGCUAAGAAAAUCCAAAUUCAUGACAACAGGCUUGUUCUCGUUUCUGGCAAUAGAAGCGAUGACAAACGACUGAUUCACACCACUAGAUGGGAUGAUGCUGUUCAAUGCUUUAAGCACAUCUGCAGUAUUUACGCCACAUCUCAACACUUAAACUGUUCUUGUCUAUGAUGAUUUGUGUUUUUCAGCUCCUCUGCUUAACCACCUCCAAUCCUGUUCCAUCUUUUGUUCUUGGAGGUCUUCCAUUUCAUGCCAAAAGCAAGCCAAACCCAUAUACACAUUUAGGAUAAUCCAAGUGAAACCUGCUGACUUUUUCUAUCCAAUACAGAGGACUAAUUUUUAGAAGCUUCAGCAAUAUUCUGCAUCUCUUCCUUAAAUUCCUUCUCUGUAGUACAAAAGAUGGUCAUGGAAUGUCAUAGAGGAAUACUCUCCUCCUCCCCCCCCUUCAGGUCUUUGCUAUUCUUCGCUUAGAUAAUUAUAGUUGGAGCCUACAAUAUUCUUGUUUGUUUGGGUGGGUUUUUUUACUGCUACUGGGGGUUAAGCCAUGGCUUAUGCUAUAAAUUUUAAAUCAUAACAUUUUACUAGAGCUCAAAUCAGGAGACAAUUGGGUGCACUUAGGCUAUGGAAUAGAGUUUUCUUUGAUAUGCUGGAAAGGUUGUAUUUGUUCAUGAAAUCUCUCUGGUUUUAUGUUUACAAACAGAUCCUGUCAUUCUCAAUCCAGCUGGUAGUAGAAGAGACAAGUCUUAUAUGUAUCUGCAAGUUAGUUGUGAGGAAAAAGAAACUUUGUACAAUGUAUUCUCAUACAUAAUAAAAAACCCUUAAGUAAACAACUGUUCAGUGUUGCUGUCCAGGUCUUUCCAAGUUCUGCUUUUCCUAACAGUACAAAGAACAGCCUUAAGCAUUUGAUGAUCCACAUCUUUAAAGGCUUUGCCAAGUUGUGCCAUGUUACCAAAAGUGGUAGCUCUGAACUUACCUGCUUGAAGGACUCACCUGCGUCUUCUUUCAGGUU